AUUGAACGCUGGCGGCAUGCUUUACACAUGCAAGUCGAACGGCAGCGCGGGCUUCGGCCUGGCGGCGAGUGGCGAACGGGGGAGUAAUGCAUCGGAACGUGCCCCGUAGUGGGGGAUAGCCCGGAGAAAGCCGGAUUAAUACCGCAUACGCCCUGAGUGUGAAAGCGGGGGACCGAAAGGCCUCGGCCUAUUGGAGCGGCCGAUGUCGGAUUAGCUAGUGGGUGGGGUAAAGGCUUACCAAGGCGACGAUCCGUAGCUGGUCUGAGAGGACGACCAGCCACACUGGGACUGAGACACGGCCCAGACUCCUACGGGAGGCAGCAGUGGGGAAUUUUGGACAAUGGGGGCAACCCUGAUCCAGCCAUGCCGCGUGCGGGAAGAAGGCCUUCGGGUUGUAAACCGCUUUUGUUCGGGAAGAAAUCCUCUGGGCUAAUACCCCGGGGGGAUGACGGUACCGGAAGAAUAAGCACCGGCUAACUACGUG
rnacentral:rRNA from 1 species